rnacentral:rRNA from 1 species
GUAGGUGGCAAGCGUUGUCCGGAAUUAUUGGGCGUAAAGCGCGCGCAGGCGGUUCUUUAAGUCUGAUGUGAAGGCCCACGGCUCAACCGUGGAGGGUCAUUGGAAACUGGAGAACUUGAGUACAGAAGAGGAAAGCGGAAUUCCACGUGUAGCGGUGAAAUGCGUAGAGAUGUGGAGGAACACCAGUGGCGAAGGCGGCUUUCUGGUCUGUAACUGACGCUGAGGCGCGAAAGCGUGGGGAGCAAACAGGAUUAGAUACCCUGGUAGUCCACGCCGUAAACGAUGAGUGCUAAGUGUUAGGGGGUUUCCGCCCCCCUUAGUGCUGCAGCUAACGCAUUAAGCACUCCGCCUGGGAGUACGGCCGCAAGGCUG